GUGGGGAAUAUUGCACAAUGGGGGAAACCCUGAUGCAGCGACGCCGCGUGAGUGAAGAAGUAUUUCGGUACGUAAAGCUCUAUCAGCAAGGAAGAAAAUGACGGUACUUGACUAAGAAGCCCCGGCUAACUACGUGCCAGCAGCCGCGGUAAUACGUAGGGGGCAAGCGUUAUCCGGAUUUACUGGGGGUAAAGGGAGCGUAGACGGUAUGGUAAGUCAGAUGUGAAAGCCCGGGGCUCAACCCCGGGACUGCAUUUGAAACUAUCAGACUAGAGUGCAGGAGAGGUAAGUGGAAUUCCUAGUGUAGCGGUGAAAUGCGUAGAUAUUAGGAGGAACACCAGUGGCGAAGGCGGCUUACUGGACUGUAACUGACGUUGAGGCUCGAAAGCGUGGGGAGCAAACAGGAUUAGAAACCCCAGUAGUCC
rnacentral:rRNA from 1 species